UGAGGCAAGGAGCCCAUAAGCUCCUGAAAUUCAAGACUCUGGGCUCCUGGUAAAGAAUCCAGAGGUGAUCUGUGGCUUAGGAGAGUUAGAAGGUUGCUAGGAAGAGUUCCUUUGACUUAAUUGUAGAGAUAAAGGGAUGGGGGGCGGAAAUACCUGAUUCUAGCAGUGGAGGAUUUGGGAGCCUGGAAAAUCUUCAUAGUGAGAGAUGGGGAGAUCGUUGUGAACUGGAAUGUUUAAGGCACACCUGCUCAAAAAAGUCUCUCGGUAGGAUCUGGGAAGAUGAGAAGAAAUCUGGGCAGUCUGCUUAGAGGCAGAAAAUGUUACAAAAUAAGAUUUCCAGUCUUUCCGGCCCCUGCUUAUGCCAAGAAUGCCCCAUGAACGCCCUCCAAGAGGCAACAGCCCUUCAGAUCAUCAGGAAACCCUGGAACUUGCUAAUAAAAAGAAAGUGAUUUUCCAUACAAAGUAAACAGUUCCCUCCUGCACAUAUAAAAGGACUUGGCUUCAGAUGCAGAGCUGCAGAGUUCUCAACUUCAUUGUCAGAGGCGGUGCUGAAGAGUGCCGGAGAGCGUGGGAGGGCCGAGAGACAUUUGUUGAACACCUACUACGUGCCAUUGCGCCAGGCGCUGGGAACAAAACUGUGAACAGCACAGACCAGACUUACGGAUGGUAUGCGAGAAGGUACGGAAGAGAUGGACAUUUCUUCCCCUUUCAAGUCCCCCUUUAGCCCCUGCGAUUUAUGAGGACCCCACCCAGGGCAUCUCAUCACAGCCCUCAUUUCAUAAAUCGCCCCCAGUGGAACCCCUAAGAAUCCAGAUUUACUAGCCAGCAAAAAUUAUUCUAGAUCUUCAGAUAUAAAUUAGAUAUCCACACCCACUAUUCUCUUUCUUGUGUGUUUGCUUCAUGGCAUUUAUCGCAAUAAAGAUUACGGUUUAUUUGAGUCCAUGCUCAUUUCCCAUCUGCCAUGGACCAAAUUGAAAGUUAUUUAAAUCUAUUUUGCUCCCCAUGGUAUCCCCAGGGCCUAGCACAAUGUUUGGCAUGCAUUAGGUGCCAAAUAAUACUGACAAAUAAACGGACUCAUCAGCUUAGUGAAUGAGUGAGCAGUUGGACAAAUAAAUGCCUUCUUAUUUACUGGAAGAAUGAGGAGUUAAAAAUAAAGAUUAGAACGUAUCUCAUAUAUAUUUCUCUAGAAGUAGGGAUCAUGGUCAACAUAUUUCCAGAGUAAAAGCAAUGCAUCGGGGGCCCCUGGGUGGCUCAGUCAGUCAGGCGUCUGCCUUCUGCU